AAUCUUCGGAGGAUUUGUUGGGCGUCGAGCGGCGGACGGGUGAGUAACGCGUGGGAAUAUGCCCUUCUCUAAGGAAUAGCCUCUGGAAACGGAGAGUAAUACCUUAUACGCCCUUUGGGGGAAAGAUUUAUCGGAGAAGGAUUAGCCCGCGUUAGAUUAGAUAGUUGGUGGGGUAACGGCCUACCAAGUCUACGAUCUAUAGCUGGUUUUAGAGGAUGAUC
rnacentral:rRNA from 1 species